AUGGGUCAAGGCACGGAGGUGAAGACGAGGGAGGACCCCAAAGUGGAGAUCCAGGAGAAGGGCGAGGUGUUCUUCUUCUACCGGCCCAAGGUGGACAAGGAGGAGGCGCACAGCCCCGACGACGUGCAGCGGAUGUACGUCGUGCUGCGCCCGGAGUCCGGCCCCGGCCGCGCCGUCGAGGAGAAGCAGGCGCCGGACUCCGGCAAGGAGGGCAAGAAGAGGAAGACCCGUCACGGCGGCGAUGAGAAGGGCCAGGCGGACGGCGGCAACGAAGGCGGCCACGGGAAGGAGGAGGUUAACGUGGAGGAGAAGCCGCUGCUCCGGCUGAUCGUUAUGGGGAAGAAGAGCCUGCCGGACCCGGCGAAGCACGGCCGGCCGUUCUGGGGCUACGUCGACCUCGUCACCACCGACGUGGAGGACAUCAAGGACGCGCUCAAGGGGGCGGAGUACGACACGGCGACGCGCGGCAAGCGGCACCUGGCCGCGGCGAGGGCGAUGGGCGAGGGCGUGUACCGCAUCCUCAAGCACGAGGGCCGCGGCGGCCGCCCGCACACCCACCUCGUCUACAAGCUGGAGCUGCCCUCGCGCGGCGGCGGCGGCGACGAGGGCGGCGUCGGGGAGCCGCAGGAGGCCAUGAACGUGGAGCCGGAGGCGUCGUUCCUGGUGCAGAUCAAGAACCCGGAGCAGCGCGGCGGGGGCAGGGGCGGAGGCGGAGGGUUCGGCGGGCUGCAGGGCAAGCGGAAGGCCGCGUUCCCGGAGCACCUGCAGGGGCGGUUCGGGAGCAACCGCUACGCGCCGGCCGACCCGCCGGACCUGCUCAACUACGAGGGGUGCGAGCUGCUGCUGAUCUCGGCGUCCGACGACGUCGAGGAGGAGCUGGGCCUGGAGCUGCAGACGGAGACGGAGGAGGAGACUGAGGAAGGAGCCGGUGACGGCGGCGAGGGCGGCCGCGCCGGGGCCGGGUGCUCGGACCUGGUGAAGAUGUUCGGCGAGGUGGCCGACGUGAAGCCGCUGCUCAGCGGGAGCUGGGACUAG
rnacentral:rRNA from 1 species